AGCGGCGGACGGGUGAGUAACACGUGGGUAACCUGCCUGACAGAUGGGGAUAACGCCUGGAAACGGGUGCUAAUCCCGAAUAGGAACCGUCUUCGCAUGGAGAGGGUUUGAAAGGCGCUCUGGCGUCGCUGACAGAUGGGCCCGCGGCGCAUUAGCCAGUUGGUGGGGUAACGGCUCACCAAAGCGACGAUGCGUAGCCGACCUGAGAGGGUGGACGGCCACACUGGGACUGAGACACGGCCCAGACUCCUACGGGAGGCAGCAGUAGGGAAUCUUCCGCAAUGGGCGCAAGCCUGACGGAGCAACGCCGCGUGAGUGAAGACGGUCUUCGGAUUGUAAAGCUCUGUCAUGCGGGACGAGCGACCGGGAGAGGGAAUGCUCCCGGAGAGACGGUACCGCAGGAGGAAGCCCCGGCUAACUACGUGCCAGCAGCCGCGGUAAUACGUAGGGGGCAAGCGUUGUCCGGAAUGACUGGGCGUAAAGCGCGCGCAGGCGGUUUUCUACGUCUGGGGUGAAAGUCCAGGGCUCAACCCUGGGAUGGCCUUGGAAACGGGGAGACUUGAGGGUCGGAGAGGCAAGGGGAAUUCCACGUGUAGCGGUGAAAUGCGUAGAGAUGUGGAGGAACACCAGUGG
rnacentral:rRNA from 1 species